CUGCUGCUGCAGAAAUGAAUAAUUGCCCUAAAGAUCAUCUGGCCUGCAAAACUGAGUAUGUUUACUAGCUGGCUCUUCACAGAAAAAGUGUGAGGACUCUGUCUGCCUUAGGACCACCACUCCAAGGAGGAUGGCAGUUAGGAUGGCCCUGCUUCGUUCGGGCCCUAUCAUGGGAACUCAGGGCAGAGCGAUGAACACGGACAGGGAGGAGUGCCUGUUCUCAGGGGCUGGCCAUCCUACUGGCGGGAGCAGGAGGAAACACCUAAGAGCACUGGAUAGCAUGUUCCUGACAAUUCAGAGUAGAGACCAGUAAAUCCAGCUAUUACCUGGCAGGCAUAGAGGGUUCCAGAACAUUCUACAUGCUCUCAGUCGGAAGGUGCUCAGUGAUGGUGUGGGGACACAUGUGGCGCCAUUACUGUAGAGGCCAGUGGGGAGCCAGAUGAAGAGAACCCGUGUCAAUCUCUGUCAUCAUAUUGGAUAGAGGGGCAUAGGUGGGCAUUACAACCCUGGAACCCUGAGCAUUUACCCAAUGGGAUCAUGUUAACCAAGAAGCGACACUUUUGAUGGACAGAGACUGCACGUCCACAAAUUAGGAGAGUUUAAGCUACUGCUCACCACCACCAUCCAUUGGAAUGGGGCCUUUAGGCGGAGAUGAGGACACUUAUGGGACUUCUUGACCAUCACUGACACUCUGGGUAAGAUACUCCUUUGUUGUGAGGGGUUGUUCUGGGCAUUAUAAUCUGUUUAGCUGCAUCCAUGCCCUCCAGCCACUAGAUGCCAGGGGUAUACAGACACACAUACCUUAGUCUUGG
ensembl:lncRNA